CUGCUCAAUGAAUAAUUUUAAAUAGCUGCAGUAUAAAUAACUGUACAAAGGUAGCAUAAUAAUUUGUUUUUUAAUUGAAAACUAGAAUGAAUGAUUUAAUGAAAUAUAAACUGUAUCAAAUUUAAAAAAUAAAUUUAUUAUUUAAAUAAAAAAAUUUAAAUAAUUUUUAAAGACGAGAAGACCCUAAAGAAUUUUAAUAAUUAAUUAUAAUAUAUAAAAUAUUAUUUAAUUAUUUUAAUUGGGGAAAUUUUAAAAUUUUAAAAAUUUUUAAUUAAAAUAACAUAAAUUUUUGAAUAUAUAAUAUUUUUUAAAAAAAUAAAUAAAAAUUACCUUAGGGAUAACAGCAUAAUUUUUUUAAAAAG
rnacentral:rRNA from 1 species